GACGAACGCUGGCGGCGUGCUUAACACAUGCAAGUCGAACGGAAAGGCCCUGCUUGCAGGGUGCUCGAGUGGCGAACGGGUGAGUAACACGUGGGUGAUCUGCCCCUUACUUUGGGAUAAGCCUGGGAAACUGGGUCUAAUACUGGAUAGGACCAUGCUGUAGGUGGUGUGGUGGAAAGAUUAGUUUCGGUAAGGGAUGAGCUCGCGGCCUAUCAGCUUGUUGGUGGGGUAAUGGCCUACCAAGGCGUCGACGGGUAGCCGGCCUGAGAGGGUGGACGGCGACAUUGGGACUGAGAUACGGCCCAGACGCCUACGGGAGGCAGCAGUGGGGAAUAUUGCACAAUGGGCGCAAGCCUGAUGCAGCGACGCCGCGUGGGGGAUGACGGCCUUCGGGUUGUAAACUCCUUUCAGCCAUGACGAAGCCCUUGUGGUGACGGUAGUGGGAGAAGAAGCACCGGCUAACUACGUG
rnacentral:rRNA from 1 species